GAUCCUGGCUCAGGAUGAACGCUAGCUACAGGCUUAACACAUGCAAGUCGAGGGGCAGCAUGGUCUUAGCUUGCUAAGACUGAUGGCGACCGGCGCACGGGUGAGUAACACGUAUCCAACCUGCCGUCUACGUCUUGGGCAGCCUUCUGAAAGGAAGACUUAAUACAAGAUGGCAUCAUGAGUCCGCAUGUUCACAUGAUUAAAGGGUAUUCCGGUAGACGAUGGGG
rnacentral:rRNA from 1 species